AACCUGCGCAGUUCAAAGCUGUGUUGUUGAAGUAUCGACUGUAUAUCUACUCUUCCCUUGGUCACUGAAAGCUUCCUGACAACUGAAUUCAUACUGUAUGAGAAGAAAAUAUUCCAAAGAGUCUGAAAGUGUCAUCUCAUAGCCAGCUGCUGAGGGCUACUGUGCUUUGGGAGAUGAAGGAUUUGGCACAAGCAGCCUGAUGUCACAGUGUGAUGAGGAAACUGAGAACCAGAAAGUUAAAGGUGCUUGCCCAAACUCACUUCAUUCUGAAGUCUGCUCUGUCUGCAAUUAAUACAGCUACUACUGCUUUCUUUUGAUUACUGUUA